rnacentral:lncRNA from 10 species
GGGUUCCGCUUGACUCUGCAUUCUCCUACUUCCCUGCCUGCUUACUCUCUGCCAUCAUAGUUUUUUGCUUCAACCUUCAAAUGUAGCCAUUCUUUUUCUAAAGCGGUACUUAUUCUCUUUAUUAGUUAAAAUUAUUAAUUUUAUGCACUUACUGUUCUAGCUCCAAUUUUGCAUUUCCAGUUCCCUGCUGGGAAUAAAUUAAAUUGGCAGAAGCUCAGUCUAAGUGCCUGCAACAGAAUUUGUCCCAUAUCCAUACAACUUGCUCCUCCACAACAAAUGGGAGAAUCAUCCUCUUACCUCCAGGUUGUACAGGAAACAGCUGGGGAGGCCUCAGGAAACUUACAAUCAUGGCACAAGGUGAAGAGGAAGGAGUUACGUUUUGCACGGCCAGAGAAGUAGGAAGAGCGUAAAGUGGGAGGUGCUACACAUUUUUGGACAACUAGAUCUCGUGAGAACUCAAUAUCACAAGAACAGCAAGGGGAAAAUCCACGCCCAUGAUCCAGUCACCUCCCACCAGGUCCCUCUUCCAACACUGGGGAUUAAAAUUCAACAUGAGAUUCAAGAGGAGACACAAAUCCAAACCAUAUCAAGGUCUCUGCUGAAUAUGCUGUUAUUCACUUAACAUUCAUGACAAGUCUACCAGCAUCAUAAAAGUCACGACGACUCACAAGAAAAUCAAAUUUACAUUUUUGCCACUACCAUGUUCAUUGAGAAGGGUAAAA